rnacentral:lncRNA from 10 species
CAGUGAAGAAUUUUAUAUCACAGCCACUGAACUUUAAAAGGUCUGAUGUGGCUUGGCGUUAAACCAACAUGUCUCGAUUAAAUGUGGGCUAAGGUGAUCUGAAACGUAAAACUACUUGAAAGUCAUGCCUUCAGUGUUUCAGAAAAAGCGAUAUGAUUCCCACACAAGAGCACAUCUGUUGAGUGAGCCCUGACUUGUGUGUGAGUGUGAGUGUGUGUGUCAGU